rfam:Phytophthora infestans T30-4 supercont1.28 genomic scaffold, whole genome shotgun sequence.
GGCCUCGUGGUCUAGUGGUAUGAUUCUCGCUUCGGGUGCGAGAGGUCCCGGGUUCGAUUCUUGGUGAGGCCC